rnacentral:rRNA from 1 species
GUAUGCUUAACACAUGCAAGUCGAACGGGUUAAUUAGGGCUUGCUCUAAUUAACUAGUGGCAAACGGGUGAGUAACACGUGGGAAUCUGCCCAUCAGUACGGAAUAACUUUUAGAAAUAAAAGCUAAUACCGUAUAUUCUCUACGGAGGAAAGAUUUAUCGCUGAUGGAUGAGCCCGCGUCAGAUUAGGUAGUUGGUGGGGUAAUGGCCUACCAAGCCUACGAUCUGUAGCUGGUCUGAGAGGAUGAUCAGCCACACUGGGACUGAGACACGGCCCAGACUCCUACGGGAGGCAGCAGUGGGGAAUAUUGGACAAUGGGCGAAAGCCUGAUCCAGC